rnacentral:snRNA from 1 species
GUAUAAGAAUCAAAUAAACUG